GACGUUACGCUUGAAAAUCGGAUUUGGACUUCUGGUAGAAAAGUUGUGCACAGACACAAAAAAAAAACAACAAAAUAUCGCACACGUAAAUAAACCCAACAGAUUUCUCACUGCGCUCGAAAUCUAAAAAAUAUUACUGUUCUAAUCGGUGGCACUGGCAGUUUGCUCGGCGAUUUUUAACGGAGUAUUUCAUGAUGGGGUGACAAAGUUGUUAUACGUAUAGUUCUGAAGGGUGUGGGAUUUGUCUCCUCCUAAAUAUGUUACACAGAUGAUUAGAUGAAAUUAAUAACGAAAGUGGAAUAAUAAUUCG